UUGUUUCCUGCUUUAUUUUUC
rnacentral:piRNA from 1 species